rnacentral:piRNA from 1 species
UAGAAAAACCACAAUGUUUACAGCCCUGC